UUCUCACUUGCACUUACAAUGUUGAGUCAAACCAAUGCAUGUGUGUGUGUGUGAGAGCAAAAGAGAGCGCAUUGCACCUUAGUUAAUGGUGCAAGGCCUUGAAUACUCUAGAAAGCAACAUUCUUUUCUGACCCUCCUUAAGUUGUUGACAACCACAAAGUGAGCAUGAAAUCAUCGGCUACAACCAAUAAGGCAGCAGGAGCUCCUCCUUCCCAGGAACCAGUUGUGUUCCUCAGAGAGAAGUUGUUCUGUGGCAAAAUGGCUCCUUACAAAGACAGGAAGGAAAAGACCAAAACACUCAUGGGAAAGGACAGAAGGUGUGAGAGUAAUGUGAGCUGUCAGCAGAGUGGACCUGUGUCUUCUCCGACAAUCUAUCAACAGGAUGCUCCCUACAUCUGCACAUCACAGUCAAAACUUAGCCAAGUUUUUGACUCAAAACAGAAGAUUGAGCUGUUUUGGCCCCCACUAUAUUCUAAUUUGCCAUCAAUUAUUCAGAUUGAUAUGCCAGUGUAUGGUAUUCUUUAGUGAAUGGGAAAUCAACAUCCUUUUGCAGUGGGAAUUGCUGGCAACACAUCAUUCCCUGGUGUGCUCCUACGCAGUACAGCAUUUCUACAUGACAGUUUUCUACUGUAUGUCCAAAUGGCCCAUUAUGGACAACUCCAUUUAGCAUGUUAUCACGUCUCCACAAGUAACACUAUUUCAACACCGCUUGGAUCAAUGCUCCCCAGCAUUGCGGGUGGCUCGGGAGAAAUCGAUGCGCCCUUUGUCAGACGAGACACAUUCGUGCCCUGCUGCUCUGUCGUGCAAAAUGCAGAUGGCUGAGGACAGAGAUGUAUGAAGAAGGCAUUGCUGCUGUGUCAGGGAUACAGAGGAAGAAACGUGGGAGGAUUAUUAUUAUGACGUAGUAUCGAUCCAAGUUGGAAAACAACCCCAGGAUGCAGAGAGCUGCAGGGGAAUGGAUGCUCAAUCGAUCCGAUCCCUUGUGCCAGACAAAGCACAGGAUUAUAGAUGCUUGCAUGGACAAAAUAAUGGAUAAAACAAUGCAUGGACAGCUAGACAGGCAGACUCCGAGAUAAAGACAGAUUGGACAGAUAAAUCUUGGGGCCCGGCAACGGAGAAAUGUGAACUGGCUCACACAAAAUAAACCAAAGAGGAAAAAUAAUCAUGAAAAUGUCAAUCUUAAAACUGCAGAUGUGAUUUAAUGUUAAACCAACUCUACAAAUGGCAUUAUAUAACAGUCAAUUGCAAUUAGCAUGGAACAGCAUGCUUGGAGCCAAGCCCAGUCAUAAUCGGGCCAAUGUGUGGACAGAGAGCAUCACUAGGCCCGGUCACUUAAUCCCUCUUCCCUUCAUACUCACUCCUAAGAGCAAUAGGGAAAUUUGAUGCCAGUAUACCAGGUACACAAAAGGGCAUAUUUAGUUUAGUGCUCCUGAGGAAAUGGAAAUAACAAAAUAAUUAUAGGAAUGUUUUUGUAGUAAAUUCUGCCCUGUUUGUGUCUGCUCUUGCUGGCAGUUUGUGCAUCCUGUUGGAUCAGACCAUCGAUGGUGCAGAGCCACAGAUGGGGAAUGAUGUUGACCAGAUUGUGUCUCUGAAGCCUCGAAAAGACCUAAAACCUGCGUCCUCCAGGGAUUAAUGACGUCUUGUAGGAAAUUGCCCUAAUCCAAAAUAAAUCCAGCGGGAUAUUCUAGUAA